ACGGAGGAUCCAAGCGUUAUCCGGGUUUAUUGGGUUUAAAGGGUGCGUAGGCGGCCUAUUAAGUCAGGGGUGAAAGACGGUGGCUCAACCAUCGCAGUGCCUUUGAUACUGAUGGGCUUGAAUGCAGCUGAGGUAGGCGGAAUGUGACAAGUAGCGGUGAAAUGCAUAGAUAUGUCACAGAACACCGAUUGCGAAGGCAGCUUACUAAAGUGCAAUUGACGCUGAGGCACGAAAGCGUGGGGAUCAAACAGGA
rnacentral:rRNA from 1 species